AGAGUUUGAUCAUGGCUCAGAGUGAACGCUGGCGGCAUGCCUAACACAUGCAAGUCGAACGGUAACAGGCCCGCAAGGGUGCUGACGAGUGGCGGACGGGUGAGGAAUACAUCGGAAUUUGCCCAGUCGUGGGGGAUAACGUAGGGAAACUUACGCUAAUACCGCAUACGACCUAACGGUGAAAGCGGGGGAUCGCAAGACCUCGCGCGAGUGGAUGAGCCGAUGUCGGAUUAGCUAGUUGGCGGGUAAAGGCCCACCAAGGCGACGAUCCGUAGCUGGUCUGAGAGGAUGAUCAGCCACACUGGGACUGAGACACGGCCCAGACUCCUACGGGAGGCAGCAGUGGGGAAUAUUGGACAAUGGGGGCAACCCUGAUCCAGCAAUGCCGCGUGUGUGAAGAAGGCCUUCGGGUUGUAAAGCACUUUUAUCCGGAACGAAACGCGCAGGGUGAAUAUCCUUGCGAACUGACGGUACCGGAGGAAUAAGCACCGGCUAACUUCGUGCCAGCAGCCGCGGUAAUACGAAGGGUGCAAGCGUUACUCGGAAUUACUGGGCGUAAAGGGUGCGUAGGUGGUUGUUUAAGUCUGUUGUGAAAGCCCCGGGCUCAACCUGGGAAUGGCAAUGGAUACUGGACAGCUAGAGUGCGGUAGAGGGUAGUGGAAUUCCCGGUGUAGCAGUGAAAUGCGUAGAGAUCGGGAGGAACACCAGUGGCGAAGGCGGCUACCUGGACCAGCACUGACACUGAAGCACGAAAGCGUGGGGAGCAAACAGGAUUAGAUACCCUAGUAGUCC
rnacentral:rRNA from 1 species